UGGGGAAUAUUGGACAAUGGGCGCAAGCCUGAUCCAGCCAUGCCGCGUGAGUGAUGAAGGCCUUAGGGUUGUAAUGCUCUUUUUGGCGGGGACGAUAAUGACGGUACCCGCAGAAUAAGCCCCGGCUAACUUCGUGCCAGCAGCCGCGGUAAUACGAAGGGGGCUAGCGUUGUUCGGAAUUACUGGGCGUAAAGCGCACGUAGGCGGAUCGGCAAGUCAGGGGUGAAAUCCCGGGGCUCAACCUCGGAACUGCCUCUGAUACUGCCAGUCUAGAGUCCGGAAGAGGUGGGUGGAAUUCCUAGUGUAGAGGUGAAAUGCGCAGAUAUCAGGAGGAACACCCAUGGCGAAGGCAGCACUCUGGGCUGGUAUUGACGCUGAGGAGCGAAAGCAUGGGUAGCGAACAGGAUUAGAUACCCAAGUAGUCCCUGAGCGGGCUGGCAAGGCGCAU
rnacentral:rRNA from 1 species